GACGAACGCUGGCGGCGUGCUUAACACAUGCAAGUCGAACGCUGAAGCCCAGCUCGCUGGGUGGAUGAGUGGCGAACGGGUGAGUAACACGUGAGUAACCUGCCCCCUUCUUUGGGAUAACGCCCGGAAACGGGUGCUAAUACUGGAUAUUCACUGAUCUUCGCAUGGGGGUUGGUGGAAAGGUUUUUUCUGGUGGGGGAUGGGCUCGCGGCCUAUCAGCUUGUUGGUGGGGUGAUGGCCUACCAAGGCUUUGACGGGUAGCCGGCCUGAGAGGGUGACCGGUCACAUUGGGACUGAGAUACGGCCCAGACUCCUACGGGAGGCAGCAGUGGGGAAUAUUGCACAAUGGGCGAAAGCCUGAUGCAGCGACGCCGCGUGAGGGAUGACGGCCUUCGGGUUGUAAACCUCUUUCGCUCAUGGUCAAGCCGCAGCUUUGGGUUGUGGUGAGGGUAGUGGGUAAAGAAGCGCCGGCUAACUACGUGCCAGCAGCCGCGGUAAUACGUAGGGCGCGAGCGUUGUCCGGAAUUAUUGGGCGUAAAGGGCUUGUAGGCGGUUGGUCGCGUCUGCCGUGAAAUCCUCUGGCUUAACUGGGGGCGUGCGGUGGGUACGGGCUGACUUGAGUGCGGUAGGGGAGACUGGAACUCCUGGUGUAGCGGUGGAAUGCGCAGAUAUCAGGAAGAACACCGGUGGCGAAGGCGGGUCUCUGGGCCGUUACUGACGCUGAGGAGCGAAAGCGUGGGGAGCGAACAGG
rnacentral:rRNA from 1 species